rnacentral:rRNA from 1 species
CCUACGGGAGGCAGCAGUGGGGAAUAUUGGGCAAUGGGCGCAAGCCUGACCCAGCAACGCCGCGUGAAGGAAGAAGGCUUUCGGGUUGUAAACUUCUUUUAAGGGGGAAGAGCAGAAGACGGUACCCCUUGAAUAAGCCACGGCUAACUACGUGCCAGCAGCCGCGGUAAUACGUAGGUGGCAAGCGUUGUCCGGAUUUACUGGGUGUAAAGGGCGUGCAGCCGGAGAGACAAGUCAGAUGUGAAAUCUACGGGCUCAACCCGUGAACUGCAUUUGAAACUGUUUCCCUUGAGUGUCGGGGAGGUAUGCGGAAUUCCUUGUGUAGCGGUGAAAUGCGUAGAUAUAAGGAAGAACACCAGUGGCGAAGGCGGAUUACUGGACGAUAACUGACGGUGAGGCGCGAAGGCGUGGGGAGCAAACAGGAUUAGAUACCCUUGUAGUC